rnacentral:rRNA from 1 species
AUACGUAGGUGACAAGCGUUAUCCGGAUUUACUGGGCGUAAAGGGCGUGUAGGCGGUCUUGCAAGUCAGAAGUGGAAUUCCUGAGCUCAACUCGGGCGCUGCUUCUGAAACUGCAGGACUUGAGUGCUGGAGGGGAUAGCGGAAUUCCUAGUGGAGCGGUAAAAUGCGCAGAUAUUAGGAAGAACACCGGUGGCGAAGGCGGCUAUCUGGACAGUAACUGACGCUGAGGCUCGAAAGUGUGGGGAGCAAACAGGAUUAGAUACCCUGGUAGUCCACACUGUAAACGAUGAUUGCUAGGUGUGGGGGGUCUGACCCCUUCUGUGCCGCAGCUAACGCAAUAAGCAAUCCACCUGGGGAGUACGGCCGCAAGGCUGAAACUCAAAGGAAUUGACGGGG